GCCUGGUGAGGUGGCGCUUGCCUGUAGUCCAGCUACUUGAGAGGCUGAGGCAGAAGGAUCGCUUGAGCCCAGGAGUUCUGGGCUGUAGUACACUAUGCCCAUCAGGUGUCCCCACUAGAUUGGCAUUAAUCUGGUGACUUCCUGGCAGCAGCGGACCACGAGGUUGCCUGAGGAAGGGUGAACCAUCCCUGGUUGAAACCAAGCAGGUCAACUCCCUUGCUGAUCAGCAGUGGGAUCUCGCUUGUGAAGAGCCACUGCACUCCAGCCUUGGCAACAUAGUGAGACCCUGUCACUU
ensembl:misc_RNA Metazoa_SRP Metazoan signal recognition particle RNA